rnacentral:rRNA from 1 species
UACGUAGGGCGCAAGCGUUGUCCGGAAUUAUUGGGCGUAAAGAGCUCGUAGGCGGCUUGUCACGUCGAUUGUGAAAGCCCGAGGCUUAACCUCGGGUCUGCAGUCGAUACGGGCUAGCUAGAGUGUGGUAGGGGAGAUCGGAAUUCCUGGUGUAGCGGUGAAAUGCGCAGAUAUCAGGAGGAACACCGGUGGCGAAGGCGGAUCUCUGGGCCAUAACUGACGCUGAGGAGCGAAAGCGUGGGGAGCGAACAGG